rnacentral:rRNA from 1 species
AUUGAACGCUGGCGGCAGGCCUAACACAUGCAAGUCGAGCGGAUGAGGGGAGCUUGCUCCCUGAUUUAGCGGCGGACGGGUGAGUAAUGCGUAGGAAGCUGCCCGAUAGAGGGGGAUACCAGUUGGAAACGACUGUUAAUACCGCAUAAUGUCUACGGACCAAAGUGUGGGACCUUCGGGCCACAUGCUAUCGGAUGCGCCUACGUGGGAUUAGCUAGUUGGUGAGGUAAUGGCUCACCUAGGCGACGAUCUCUAGCUGGUUUGAGAGGAUGAUCAGCCACGCUGGAACUGAGACACGGUCCAGACUCCUACGGGAGGCAGCAGUGGGGAAUAUUGGACAAUGGGCGCAAGCCUGAUCCAGCCAUGCCGCGUGUGUGAAGAAGGCCUUCGGGUUGUAAAGCACUUUCAGCGAGGAGGAAGGGUGGUGUGUUAAUAGCACAUCAUUUUGACGUUACUCGCAGAAGAAGCACCGGCUAACUCUGUGCCAGCAGCCGCGGUAACAC